UACGUAGGGUGCGAGCGUUAAUCGGAAUUACUGGGCGUAAAGCGUGCGCAGGCGGUGAUGUAAGACAGUUGUGAAAUCCCCGGGCUCAACCUGGGAACUGCAUCUGUGACUGCAUCGCUGGAGUGCGGCAGAGGGGGAUGGAAUUCCGGCGUGUAGCAGUGAAAUGCGUAGAUAUGCGGAGGAACACCGAUGGCGAAGGCAAUCCCCUGGGCCUGCACUGACGCUCAUGCACGAAAGCGUGGGGAGCAAACAGG
rnacentral:rRNA from 1 species